UACGUAGGGGGCAAGCGUUAUCCGGAUUUACUGGGUGUAAAGGGAGCGUAGACGGCGAGACAAGUCUGGAGUGAAAGGCCGGGGCCCAACCCCGGGACUGCUCUGGAAACUGCCUGGCUGGAGUACAGGAGAGGUAAGUGGAAUUCCUAGUGUAGCGGUGAAAUGCGUAGAUAUUAGGAGGAACACCAGUGGCGAAGGCGGCUUACUGGACUGUAACUGACGUUGAGGCUCGAAAGCGUGGGGAGCAAACAGG
rnacentral:rRNA from 1 species